rnacentral:misc_RNA from 1 species
AUUUAUUUUAUUACAUGUUAUAUAUUAAUAACCUAUUUUAAAACUUAAAUUGCUAAUUCAAGUAUGACUUUUUAAAAAAAUAGUUGUGUAAAAUUGUUUUAAGAAUCGAGAACCGAAUCAAAACCGAAUUGAAAUUUUGAUUUAGUUACUAUGCAAAAGCCGAAUUGGAAUUGGAGCUACACAUCCCUAUCAUCAACAUAGAAUGGGAUGAUGUUUUAAGAAACAGGGAAUACAGAGAAAGGGAGAAUGUAUAUAUUAGAAACUUUGAUAGGAAAAAUUGGGGAUUGACAGAGAAGGAGAAGAAGGGGGGAUUGAGCACAAAGAGGUAGUCAUAGCAAGGAGAGAGGAAAAGAAAAGAGAGGCAAUAGAUCUAGGGUUAGUUUUUCAACUAAGAAGAAUAUAACUAAGAUAAAAAAGAAAAAAAUGCAUAACUUAGAUUCGAACUCUAGGCUACAACGAAGGCUUAUAAGUAGUGUUAUUCAACUCGGACUGAAUUGACGAGUCAACUCAGAGAACUGGUGAAGUGGACCUAAAACCG